UGGGGAAUUUUGGGCAAUGGGCGAAAGCCUGACGCAGCAACGCCGCGUGAGGGAUGAAGGCUCUCGGGUUGUAAACCUCUUUCAGCAGGGACGAUUGUGACGGUACCUGCAGAAGAAGCCCCGGCCAACUACGUGCCAGCAGCCGCGGUAACACGUAGGGGGCAAGCGUUGUCCGGAUUUAUUGGGCGUAAAGAGCUCGUAGGUGGUUCGGUAAGUCGGGUGUGAAAACUCUGGGCUCAACUCAGAGACGCCACCCGAUACUGCUGUGACUUGAGUCUGGUAGGGGAGUGUGGAAUUCCCAGUGUAGCGGUGAAAUGCGCAGAUAUUGGGAGGAACACCAGUGGCGAAGGCGGCACUCUGGGCCAGUACUGACACUGAGGAGCGAAAGCGUGGGUAGCGAA
rnacentral:rRNA from 1 species